rnacentral:rRNA from 1 species
AGUGAACGCUGGCGGUAGGCCUAACACAUGCAAGUCGAACGGCAGCACAGGAGAGCUUGCUCUCUGGGUGGCGAGUGGCGGACGGGUGAGGAAUACAUCGGAAUCUACUCUGUCGUGGGGGAUAACGUAGGGAAACUUACGCUAAUACCGCAUACGACCUACGGGUGAAAGCAGGGGACCUUGGGUCCUUGCGCGAUUGAAUGAGCCGAUGUCGGAUUAGCUAGUUGGCGGGGUAAAGGCCCACCAAGGCGACGAUCCGUAGCUGGUCUGAGAGGAUGAUCAGCCACACUGGAACUGAGACACGGUCCAGACUCCUACGGGAGGCAGCAGUGGGGAAUAUUGGACAAUGGGCGCAAGCCUGAUCCAGCCAUACCGCGUGGGUGAAGAAGGCCUUCGGGUUGUAAAGCCCUUUUGUUGGGAAAGAAAUCCAGCUGGCUAAUACCCGGUUGGGAUGACGGUACCCAAAGAAUAAGCACCGGCUAACUUCGUGCCAGCAGCCGCGGUAA